GACGAACGCGGGCGGCGUGCUUAACACAUGCAAGUCGAACGGGCCUGUCCUGGUUUUUGCUGGGGUGGGUUAGUGGCGAACGGGUGAGUAACACGUGAGUAACCUGCCCCUCACUUCUGGAUAACCGCUUGAAAGGGUGGCUAAUACGGGGUGUUCUGGCUGUGCCGCAUGGUGUGGUUGGGAAAGAUUCACUGCUUUGUGGUGUUUUGGUGGGGGAUGGGCUCGCGGCCUAUCAGCUUGUUGGUGGGGUGAUGGCCUGCCAAGGCUUUGACGGGUAGCCGGCCUGAGAGGGUGGGCGGUCACACUGGGACUGAGACACGGCCCAGACUCCUGCGGGAGGCAGCAGUGGGGGAUAUUGCACAAUGGGCGGAAGCCUGAUGCAGCGACGUCGCGUGAGGGAUGGAGGCCUUCGGGUUGUGAACCUCUUUCGCCGGUGAAGAAGGUCCUGCUUUUUGGGUGGGGUUGACGGUAGCCGGGUUAUGAAGCGCCGGCUAACUACGUGCCAGCAGCCGCGGUAAUACGUAGGGCGCGAGCGUUGUCCGGAAUUAUUGGGCGUAAAGGGCUUGUAGGCGGCUGGUCGCGUCUGUCGUGAAAUCCUCUGGCUCAGCUGGGGGCGUGCGGUGGGUACGGGCUGGCUUGAGUGCGGUAGGGGAGGCUGGAACUCCUGGUGUAGCGGUGGAAUGCGCAGAUAUCAGGAGGAACACCGGUGGCGAAGGCGGGUCUCUGGGCCGUUACUGACGCUGAGGAGCGAAAGCGUGGGGAGCGAACAGG
rnacentral:rRNA from 1 species